UCAAAGUCUCAAAUUAAUCUUGGUGCAUUUUGCAGCACAUAAAUGGAAUGGCACAGAUAAAAUAAGCUAAAUUUGGCGUUGUUGAUAUGGAUUUUGUGUUGGGAGUGGGAGGCUACGAUCUUGACAGAAUUGAUUCUGAAGAUCCAUCAGAGGAUUCUCAUUGUGAGAAUCACACUCACGAGCAUGGCCAUGAAUGCCACCAAGGGCAUCAUCAUGAUCACAAGCAUGAUUCUGCUGUAUCCAGUGUGAUCAUUGUUUCUGAA